GGCUGGACCCGACGCAUCUCUCCUCCAUCCCCUCCACGCCGCCCCUCGCCCGCGCCGGCGCCGGCGUCUGUGCUGCCCCUCGCCCGCCGGCGCACCUACGAAUCCUCCGUCGCUGUUUCCCUUGCCCACGCCGGAUCCCCGCGCCCGGCACCUCCAAUCGCGCCGCCGUUCUGGCUUCCCGGCCGGCCUCGAGGUCGAGGACGACGGGGCGUGGUUUCGCGCAGCUUAGUGAAGCUCCAAGGUACCCUUCCCCGGCGCCGCACAGAAAUGGAGGCCACCAUCCAAAGCUUCCCCUAGCGGUUCGCCUACCGGCCGGCCUCGCGCGGUGCCGGAUGAUGCACCAGUCGAGAGCGGUUGCACGCCAGCCACCAGGACGCGACGGCGUCCACGGAAGGGAGACGCGUCCCGUGGUCAGCCCCGCGGAGCUCGAGGUCGCCCCGACCAUCAGAAAUAGGCAGAGGAGGAGAUGCGUCCUUCACCGCCGCCCUCCUUCCCCAGGCCGUCCACCAUGAGGCCAGUCCGCUGCGGCAGCAAGCCCAUUCUGCCCAUGCUGCUCGCCGGGAACAUCGCCACAGCCGGUGAGCCAUCUCUCAUCCCUAGACGUUAACAAUCUUGCAGGAUGGUGCCCGAGCUUAAAAAAAACAACUUGCUCAACUUUUAUUGAGUAGUACGAUUGGAUCCCAAGAGCUCCCAAGAGCGGUAAGGUUGUAGUUUUCGGUGUGUUUUGUGAUGUGAUAUUGUUCUGUCUUCUCCAUUAUAUGAUGCUGAAGAACAAAAUAAUAUUGCCAAUACUUACUCUAUCAGCAGUAUGAUUCGUUGUAUCUUGCAUCAACUUAGAAAAAAAUGUAAAAGAAGGCAGAAGUUUCACUUAUCACAUUGUAUACAUUAUCCGUUUAGUCUUAGAUUCAUGCAUCUUGUGAACGACAUUCUUGUUGGAUUUAAUUUAGGAAAGUUUCCUUUGAAUUGAACUACAUGUAAAGAAGAUAGUGAACUUUGCUUCGGCUAUGCAUACUGAAUAUAACAAAUUGCUAGCAUUUAUCAUUUACCGGAGAUUCCAAGCACUAUAUGUUAGUGAGAACCUUGUACCAUCUGAUUGGGAGUUUGAAGAGCUUGCUGGUCACACAUAUCUCUUUAAAAAAGAACAACUUGAGAGCCUUGUCAUUCCUUCGUCCAGCACACUUCAUGGCACCAUCAUUGGAAUGCCAUUAAUCUUGGAGGAACCAACUUCAGAGCCUUGAAAGUUAAAAUUCAAGUCAUCCCUGACGAAUUGAUGGGUACAGGAUUUAUUCAACUUUGUUGCCUUGACACUAAAGAAUUUUGUUCAAAAAGAAGAUGAACAAAAGGCGCCUGGUUUUACAUUUACUUUCCCCGUUAGAUAGAAUUCAGUUUCUUCAGGUUCAUUGACUAAGGUUGGAUACACGAGGAGAUUCCAAGCACUAUAUGUCAGCGAGAACCUUGUACCAUCUGGUGGGGAGAUUGCGAGCUUGUUGGUCAUUCCUCCAUCCAAACAUACUUCAUAUGCCACCAUCAUUGGGAUGAAGAAUGAUGCUAUUGAUCUUGGAGGACCCUAUCUGAAGUCUAGAAGGUUCAGGUUGGUGUGGCGUCCUUCACUGCCACCAAGUUCACGCUGGCUGUGAAAGCCUGAAAGGACACCCUCCUUCCCGGUGUCAUCCACCAUGAGGCCACGCAGAAGCAGGCCUGUGCAGCUCCUCGGCUCUGCCCCCCCCCCCAUAAUGGAGUUCCAUUGAUCUUGGAGGAACCAACUUCAGAGCCUUGAAGGGAGCUGUAGAAAAUUUGCUAGAGAGAAGUGCAUAUAUGCAGUUUCUCGAUGGAUCUGUCAUGCUCUUGGAUGAGGGUGCCAAGGCACUCCUAUUGUCAACACUUAGUGAAAUGUCUGCCAGUGCAUUGCGCUGUUUGGGCUUUGCAUAUAAGGAGGAUUUGGCACAAUUCGCAACAUAUGAUGGGGAAGUGCAUGCUACUCAUAAGUAUCUGUUUGAUCCUUCAUGCUACUACUCCAUAGAGAGUGAUCUGAUAUUCUGUGGUUUUGUUGGUCUAAGACACUACUAUCCACAGGAUCCUCCACGAGAAGUAGUCCACCAAGCAAUUGAAGGUUGCAAAGCUCCUGAGAUACGUGUUAUGGUGAUAGCAGAGAAACAGCACACUCAAUAUGCCGUGAGAUUGGGGUUUUAGCCCCUGUGAAAACAUUAGAUCAAGGAGCUUCACAUGGAAGGAAGUCAUGGCUCUUCGCGAUGGGAAGAAGCUGUUGAGGCAAACAGGUGGCCUUCUCUUCUCCAGGGCAGAGCCAAAAACAUAAGCAGGAAAUCAUUAGGUUGCUCAAAUAAGAUGGUGAAGUUGUUGCAAUGUCUGGUGAUGGUGUGAAUGAUGCACCAACUCUGAAAUUAGUUGAUAUUGGAUUUGCGAUGGGCAUGACAAAGACCAAGGUUACAAAAGAAGCUUCAGGUAUGGUGCUUGCAGAUGAUAACUUCGGUACAAUAGUCAUUAACCUGCAUCUGCCUUUUAUAAGGUGCAGGACGGGACAGAAGGGCUCGAGGGCUUCUGCUUCAGUGCUUGAUUGCCACUGAUGGGAGCGGUGUCCUCAGCAAUGACAUCCUGCAGCAGCUCUUGCAGAGCAUCACCAGCAGAGCUAGGAGCUGCAGCAGGCCGAGAUCGACCUCCGCGCAAGGUAAAGAUAUUAAUUUGCCAAAGUUGUCGUGAUGGAGAUUAAUGGUCAUCACAAACCUAGAAGAGGGCAGCAAUGCAAUGGUGUAAACCACUCAAUAAUUUCAGGGAAGUUGUUCCAUGGACGUUAUGGACGUACAAACCAUGAACCAUUUCAUUGUUACUGAUGGGAACCUGCCUUUUAAUUGAGCUGGGCUUAUGAGAAAUGCUUCUAGAACUUGAACUACAUGUAGCAAUGAGAAGUGAGAUGUGCUCCCCCGGCAUGACCGUUGAAACUGUGAUGCAUCUAGCUGGUUCAGCAAUGUCAAGUCAAAGGGAAGAUCAAAUGGCACGUGAGAGUAUCUUCUUUUGUUUGAACUGGUCUGGCUUUUAUUGUAGAUCUUUUUAAAAGUGGGGUACAUGAGGGUUCAGAGAUGGGCUAAUUACGUAGAGAUUACGUACUUGAGAUGGUUAUCAUGAUCCAGUUUUCAUGGACAAAUACAUGCUGUGGUAAGCCGCGUGUUAGUUAUAGUUGUAUGCAUCUAAAGAUUUUGUGUCUUUGUAUUUACUGGUCAACGCUAUAGGAUUAUAUGUCUUACAUGUCCACUGUUUUGCAUAGUUAAAUUCUGUACAUAGAUACUCUCGGAAAAAACUUCUGCACAUAGGUGCCAUAAGUUUUUGUAUCAUUCAUAUUUAGUUGGCACCAUCAAAAAAUGAUAAUGUGUCUGGACGUAUUUUGCAGAUGAUACAACCAGUAGCUAUAUCUUAGUGGUCUUUCUUUUCAUCUUACCAUAGUGAUCUGGUUCCUCUUUGCUCGAGGUGUCAUGGCUUGCUUGGUAUUACUCUGAUAUACUCUCUCCGUUCUCUUUUAGUCUACAUUCUAGGAAAAAUCAGACAAAUUAGUAGUGCAUUUAUUAGUACUGCUUAAAUUGGUAAACAACCAAUCCAAGCUACAUUGAAAAUAGUGACAUCCAAUAGAUAAAGGAGGACCACUUCGUUUUUCCGUAUUCUUGUUGACUAAAAGCUAGAAUGUAGAGUAUUUCAGAACAAAUUUUAGGCCUAGAAUGCAGAGUAUUUCAGAACGGAGG